rnacentral:rRNA from 1 species
AGUAACGCGUGGGUAACCUGCCUCGUACAGGGGGAUAACAGUUAGAAAUGACUGCUAAUACCGCAUGAGCGCACAGUGCUGCAUGGCACAGUGUGAAAAACUCCGGUGGUAUGAGAUGGACCCGCGUCUGAUUAGCUAGUUGGUGGGGUAACGGCCUACCAAGGCGACGAUCAGUAGCCGACCUGAGAGGGUGACCGGCCACAUUGGGACUGAGACACGGCCCAA